rnacentral:rRNA from 1 species
AGGACGAACGCUGGCGGCGUGCUUAACACAUGCAAGUCGAGCGGUAAGGCCUCUUCGGGGGUACACGAGCGGCGAACGGGUGAGUAACACGUGGGCGACCUGCCCUCAGCUCUGGGAUAAGCCUGGGAAACUGGGUCUAAUACCGGAUAUGACCUCUUGUUGCAUGACUUGGGGUGGAAAGCCUGGUCUUAAUUGAUUCGGCGGCUGGGGAUGGGCCCGCGGCCUAUCAGCUUGUUGGUGGGGUGAUGGCCUACCAAGGCGACGACGGGUA